AUUGAACGCUGGCGGCAGGCCUAACACAUGCAAGUCGAACGGUAGCACAGAGAGCUUGCUCUCGGGUGACGAGUGGCGGACGGGUGAGUAAUGUCUGGGAAACUGCCCGAUGGAGGGGGAUAACUACUGGAAACGGUAGCUAAUACCGCAUAAUGUCGCAAGACCAAAGAGGGGGACCUUCGGGCCUCUUGCCAUCGGAUGUGCCCAGAUGGGAUUAGCUAGUUGGUGAGGUAAUGGCUCACCAAGGCGACGAUCCCUAGCUGGUCUGAGAGGAUGGCCAGCCACACUGGAACUGAGACACGGUCCAGACUCCUACGGGAGGCAGCAGUGGGGAAUAUUGCACAAUGGGCGAAAGCCUGAUGCAGCCAUGCCGCGUGUAUGAAGAAGGCCUUCGGGUUGUAAAGUACUUUCAGCGGGGAGGAAGGCGAUACGGUUAAUAACCGUAUUGAUUGACGUUACCCGCAGAAGAAGCACCGGCUAACUCCGUG
rnacentral:rRNA from 1 species